rnacentral:lncRNA from 1 species
CAUCUUCCUCAAGAGAAUCUGAUGCAGAUGAAUCCAGAAUAUAGGAGACUUUCUCCUGAGUGAGAAUAAUUUUCAGGUUCCUUAAUCAGUCGACAUAGUUAGGUUCAGUCAACUUGUUUGCAUCUAGUAUGCCUCUAAGUGAUAGUGAGGAUGUCAUGUGUGUAGUUAAUUUACAAUAGCAAGAACAUAAUAUAAGCGGAUAACUCAUAAUGACAUUCAUAACUAGACUAGGAUUUUUAUCUAAUAGUGUCUUCCACUAUUUUAUCGAACUUCAUAGCCCUCAUUUAUGAAAGUCGAGAAACAUAUUAAUGUUUCUUAGUGGGGUUGAGAUCCCUAUUCCUCACAAACACCUU